rnacentral:rRNA from 1 species
UAGGGAAUAUUGGGCAAUGGAUGCAAGUCUGACCCAGCCAUGCCGCGUGCCGGAUGAAGGCCCUCAGGGUUGUAAACGGCUUUUAUUCGGGAAGAAGAGCAGGGAUGCGUCCUUGUGUGACGGUACCGAAUGAAUAAGCACCGGCUAACUCCGUGCCAGCAGCCGCGGUAAUACGGAGGGUGCGAGCGUUGUCCGGAUUUAUUGGGUUUAAAGGGUGCGUAGGUGGCUAAUUAAGUCAGUGGUGAAAUACAGCCGCUCAACGGUUGAGGUGCCAUUGAUACUGACUAGCUUGAAAUAAUUGGAGGCUGCCGGAAUGGAUGGUGUAGCGGUGAAAUGCAUAGAUAUCAUCCAGAACACCGAUUGCGAAGGCAGGUGGCUACGAUUUGUUUGACACUGAGGCACGAAAGCAUGGGGAGCAAACA